rnacentral:lncRNA from 1 species
UUAUUUUGUAGUAGCAGAUUUGCAUAAUUUUGUACUGUUUCUUUUCAUUUUGCUCAUGCUUAACAGGGAGCAGUUUUGUUUGUAGUUUCUGUAAAAUGACGCGGAUGGAUUCUCCUUGAUGUCUUUCUCACUUUAUCUGGAACUAUCGUGUCUUCUCCUCACCAAAGAAUCAGUUUCAGAGGUGUUCACUUUUGCCAAUCCCCCCGUCAUCCAAGCUUGAAAACUAGUAAAGCAUGCCCAGAUCCUCCAUUCGCUGUGCUAUUUUCCAGCUGGCAGGUAGAAAUUUGAAACACCUCGCCCAGAGUUACAGCCGCCCAGCUCAUAAAUGGUGAAGACCUGAAAUGGAGCCCACCUUGCUGGCUCCUGUGCCUUCUGAACACCUCUCCAGGAGAGCAAGCUCUUGUCACUGAUACUUCACUUCUAGCAUUGAAACCGCAAGAGAAGCAAUACCAGCAAGAGAUGAAUCAAAUCCUCCCUUCAGCCCUUGCUGUUGGCAGCUCCCUAUGGCAUUCUGAAUCAUUACCCUGGACAGACUUUUGUGACCCAAGGAUAAGCCUCCUUACAACAAAGAUAAUAGAAACCUGCCUUUGCUGCCAAGGAUGUUUCAUUUGUCUCUCAUACUGGGUCUUGCUGCUGGAGGUAACAUUUGCCAGCAUAAACUUUCAGCCUGCUGUUUACCAAAUUCCUCUGUACAUCACUCAUCAUGCUUCACCAGGGAAUUCAAGGCUUAUUUUGCCCUCCUGGACUGCUUUCCUAGCCUUAAGUCUUUGGCGACACAUUACAUCACAUACAUGUAAGACAGAUGCCUGCUUUUCCCUCCACUCAGGGAAGCUCUGAACCCACGAUGUCAGUAAAAUCCUGCUAAAGUUUUCAGAUCAGGAUGUCUGCCGGAGCUGCGUGAUCUUUCCAUCUCCAAGCCAAGCUCCUCAGGUUUUACUUCAAUUACA